UGCCCCUGUGUCCCACCCCUCACAGGAACCUGACGUGGUCUACACGCAUCACCCGUGCGUGGAUCAUGGAGGGCACAGGGAAGAUGGUGCAGGACCACGUGGAGGUGGCAGGUGUGGGAACGGGGUACCCCUAGAGGGGAUGGUCGACAGUCACUGCAGACCUCCUCUUGUGGAUCCGGAAAAUUCUCAAGCUAAGUCAAAGCAAACCAAACUGAAAGGAAGACUCUUUGCACCAAGGAAAUAACAAGGCAGCAUUUAAUCUUUAUACCAGUGGACUGCUGGAUCUUCACUCCAGUGGACUGUUGCAGGAUACUUCCUCAAAGGCGAAGGGGACAUGCUGACUCAGGCAUCCAAGUGUGUCUGCUGCUGUGGACCUCUUCAGCGCUGGCUGGCUUUCUUUUCCUUACACAUUUGGACGCUUCUAGUCUACUGCACUGUGGUCAAAGAAUGUGGUCAAUAUGGUGUCAUACUAUCAACGUGAUAUUAGAUUGAUGAAGGAUCCUGUGAAAAUCAUGUGUAACCCAUUUUUACAAAUGUCUAUGAAUGCUUGGAAAUACAUUUUUAAUUUUUUUGGGUGUAUGGUCUUAUAAGUGUUCUUUAAAUUAGGUUUGUUUAUGAUUUUGUUUGUAUUUUCAAUAUUCUUUUAAUUAUUUUUCUGCUUGUUUUAUCAUUUGAUAAGAGAGUUAUGUAUUAAACUCCUCAUUAUGACUGCAGAUCGUAGUGUCAUUUCUUGGACCUUUAAAACAUAAAUUAAAAAAAUUUAGCAUAGGUUUUGUGCUCUGGGUUUUAAGUUCAUAUGAAUCACACAGUUGUGGUAAUCCUCCUGGUAAGUUGAUUGUUUCUUCCUUGUGUGGCUUUUCAA